UACAUGUACCCCCCGUCCUGGUCCAGCUCCUGACUGGAGCACUUCCUCCUCGAAGACCUCAGUAUCCUCUGAAGCCUGCACAAGCUGAAGCCAUCACCAAACAAGUUGAAUCUCUGCUUGCCAAAGGUGCCCUCACCAAGUGCACAUCUCCAUGCAACACCCCACUUUUCCCUGUUAAAAAGCGCACUGUUAAGGGCCAACCCGACCAGUACCGCAUGGUACAGGACCUCCGUGC